CCCCCGGUAGCGUGGCAGACGGGUGAGUAACGCGUGGGCAACCUGCCCGGAGGUGGGGGAUAACCCCUCGAAAGGGGGGCUAAUACCGCAUGACACCCCGGGGACCUCGGUCCCUGGGAUCAAAGCUGGCCUCUGUUUACAAGCUAGCGCCACCGGAUGGGCCCGCGUCCCAUUAGCUAGUUGGUGAGGUAACGGCCCACCAAGGCUACGAUGGGUAGCCGGCCUGAGAGGGCGACCGGCCACACUGGAACUGAGACACGGUCCAGACUCCUACGGGAGGUAGCAGUGAGGAAUCUUGCGCAAUGGGCGAAAGCCUGACGCAGCGACGCCGCGUGGAGGAUGAAGGUCUUCGGAUCGUAAACUCCUGUCGAGCGGGACGAAACCCGGAGGGGACAACACCCCUUCCGGUUGACGGUACCGCUGGAGGAAGCCCCGGCUAACUCCGUGCCAGCAGCCGCGGUAAUACGGAGGGGGCCAGCGUUGUUCGGAAUUAUUGGGCGUAAAGGGCGCGUAGGCGGCUGCUCAAGUCGGACGUGAAAUCCCUCGGCUCAACCGGGGAACUGCGUCCGAUACUGUGCGGCUUGAGUCCCGGAGAGGGUAGUGGAAUUCCCAGUGUAGCGGUGAAAUGCGUAGAUACUGGGAGGAACACCGGUGGCGAAGGCGGCUACCUGGACGGGUACUGACGCUGAGGCGCGAAAGCCAGGGGAGCAAACAGGAUUAG
rnacentral:rRNA from 1 species